CGAACGCUGGCGGCAGGCCUAAUACAUGCAAGUCGAACGGCUCUUCGGAGCAGUGGCGGACGGGUGAGUAACGCGUGGGAAUGUGUCCUUUGGAACGGAACAACACAGGGAAACUUGUGCUAAUACCGUAUGUGCCCUUCGGGGGAAAGAUUUAUCGCCAUUGGAGCAGCCCGCGUUGGAUUAGGUAGUUGGUGAGGUAAAGGCUCACCAAGCCUACGAUCCAUAGCUGGUCUGAGAGGAUGACCAGCCACACUGGGACUGAGACACGGCCCAGACUCCUACGGGAGGCAGCAGUAGGGAAUCUUGCGCAAUGGGCGAAAGCCUGACGCAGCCAUGCCGCGUGUAUGAUGAAGGUCUUAGGAUUGUAAAAUACUUUCACCGGGGAAGAUAAUGACGGUACCCGGAGAAGAAGCCCCGGCUAACUUCGUGCCAGCAGCCGCGGUAA
rnacentral:rRNA from 1 species